AAAAACAAAAAAGAAAGAAAUUAACGAUAUGUAGAAAGUUUCUAGAAACAAACUGAACCCUUCUUCUUCGUGGAAGUUCAAUACACAACAAUCUUCUUCUUCUUCUUCUUUCUUCUUCACUGCAAUUCAUCACCUUUUUCACUGCACCAUCAUCACAUUUGAACGCUUCAUCACCUUCGAAAUUGGUAAAGCUUGAAACCCUAACUUUCAUAGAAAUUCAACUGCUUCACUCAAACUUGAAAGAAUGAACCGUUCCCUUCGCUGCAAACCUGGGGGUCCUGCUCCUCUAAGCGGGGACAAUUCAAGAAGAAUUAAGAGACGAACCGUUCCCUUCACUCAUUCAUAUGCAUAUUAGGUGUUUGAUAAUUUCCUAAGUGGUGUUAUGUGAAUCUUUGCCUGAGAGCAUCCGUCGCAACGAUUUCUUCACCGCAAACGAUUGACUUCUUCACUGCACUGCACCUUCGUCAAAAUUGAACCCUUCGUCAUCUCCGAACCAUUCGUAAAACUUGAACCCACCUUAACCGCUCAAAAUUGAACCCUUCACUACAAUCUCAGAACAUCGAACACCUCACUGCCCAGAAAUUGAACUCCUUCACCGAAAAUUCAAACCCUUCAGUACAAAUUUAAAACCCUAACUUUCAUAGAAAUUGAACUCCUUCAGUAAAACUAGAAAAUUUGAACUGUUCCCUUCGCUGCAAACUUCGAAGGAAUUGAUUGCAAACUUGGAGGCUACUCAUUCAUAUGAUUGCUACCUUGUGUACAUUCUCACUGAAAUGGCUGGAACUGGAAGUACAUCAAAUGACUGAAAUAGUGUUCACUCGGACAUGUGAUGCAACUCAUCUUCUUGCUUAGAUUCUUAGGAAUCUCGAUUUGAAAGCCAUCCCCAUUAAUGGUCAUGUGAGUCAGGUAUUUCCUGUUGCUCAAAAGGGAUUUGUGGAUUCAAUCCUUUUACAACGUUUGUGUGCUAUAGAAUUAUUUUAUAAUCUGAGGUUCUACACAAACUUAUAAGCUAUGAGGUUUGGCACAUCUCUCACUCUUCAUUCUCAAACAUAGGAAAUCCACACAAAGGUUCAAGUUAUUGACAUCUAUCUAGCUAGUCUCUUUUUAAUCCACACAAAGAGCUGCAUUCGUUGAGGUUGUUGUCAAUGUUGCACUUUUGCUACAUGAAGGUGUGAAGGUCUGUGCUCAAAUCAGUUCGGUUUUGCAAGAGGUCAAGGCUGUACAAAAUGCUGCUUAUAAAGCUGAUUGGUAUGUUGUCUAUAUAGUAUGCAAUAUGUCACAAUCUACGGAAGUUGUUCAUGAGUGUUGGAAGAGUGAAUUUCACAUGUCUAUAUAACUGGUUAUAUAGAAUUGGAAGAGUCUGCAACUCUGCAUCAAUAUACUUUGUUGGAACUGAAUUUUACAUUGACAAAAGUAUUUACUGACUAGACGUUCACAUUUGAUCAUAUUCAAUUUUAGAGCCAAAAGCAACAAAUAGUUAUGAGUGCGACUAUUAUGUCAUGAUACACAUGUUGAACAUUGUAUCUGCUGGUGUUGUUGGUUCAUGGACCCAAGUAAGUAAUAUAAUUUCUGUAUCAAGCUGUAUCAAUUUAUUUAAUUGGUGCAAGAGAAAACAAGCUAUAGUACAUGACGAAAUUUGGAGACAGAUCUAAGUUUAAGUUUUUUAUUCUUUUUGUCGAGGUACCGUUACAAUUUUAAUGAUAUGCAGUUGCCCCAACACAUCAAGAUAUAGUAAUUGUAAUUGUUUUUCAAGACUUAGAAUAAUUCAUUAUUGUGUUGGUUCUCUGUGUGUUUAGAAUUGUAAUUAGUUUGUAGUUAGUUACUUAUUUCUUCAUGAGUGAUAUUACCCCUUAAAUUAGAUUUUAAA